rnacentral:tRNA from 1 species
GCGGAAGUGGUGAAACUGGCAAACACGUACGGUUCAGGGCCGUAUGCUUUCGGGCUUGAGGGUUCAACUCCCUCCUUCCGCACCA